UUAAGAUACUAAGAGCAUACGGUGGAUGCCUUGGCGAUAUCUGCCGACGAAGGACGUGACAAGCUGCGAAAAGCUGCGGAGAGAUGCAAAUAAUCGGCGACCCGCAGACAUCCGAAUGGAGCAAUCCGGCUGUGAUGAUGCACAGCCAUCCAUGCCCAAGAGCAUGAGAAGGGAACCGGGCGAACUGAAACAUCUAAGUAACCCGAGGAAAAGAAAUCAAACGAGAUACCCCAAGUAGCGGCGAGCGAACAGGGAAGAAGCCCAAACCGGUGAAGGAAACUUUACCGGGGUUGAGGACCAUCAGACCCGCGAAGAACCUUAGCCGAAACUGUUGGGAAACAGUGCCGAAGACAGUGAAAGCCUGGUAGGCGAAAAAGAGAAACGCGGAGAUGGCACCAGAGUACCGCGGGACACGAGAAAUCCCGUGGGAAGCAGGGGGGACCACCCUCCAAGGCAAAACACAGAUAUCGACCGAUAGCGCAUAGUACCAUGAGGGAAAGGUGAAAAGCACCCCGGGAGGGGAAUGAAAGAGAACCUGAAACCGUAUGUUUACAAGCAGUCGGAGACCGCUUAAUAAUAAGGUCGACGGCGUGCCUAUUGAAGAAUGAACCGGCGAGUUACGAAGCCUGGCAAGGUUAAGCAGGAAAUGCGGAGCCGAAGCGAAAGCGAGUCUUAAGAGGGCGCAAGUCAGGAAGCGUAGACCCGAAACCACAGUGAUCUACCCAUGUCCAGGUUGAAACACAGGUAAAAAUGUGUGGAGGACCGAACCUAUAUCCGUUGAAAAGGGUUAGGAUGAGGUGUGGGUAGGGGUGAAAUUCCAAUCGAACGUGGAGAUAGCUGGUUCUCCCCGAAAUAGCUUUAGGGCUAGCCUCAGGGAAAAGAUUGCAGGCGGUAGAGCACUGAUCAGGAGAGGGACCUACCCGGUUACCAAACCCAGUCAAACUCCGAAUGGCUGCAAUCAUACCUGGGAGUCAGACUGCGACUAAUAAGGGCCGUAGUCAAAAGGGAAACAGCCCAGACCAUCAGCUAAGGUCCCCAAUGCCGUGCUAAGUGGCGAAGGAUGUGGCAUUUCAUAAACAACCAGGAUGUUGGCUCAGAAGCAGCCACCAUUUAAAGAGUGCGUAAUAGCUCACUGGUCGAGAGACGCUGCGCCGAAAAUGUCCGGGGCUCAAGCACGGAACCGAAGCUAUGGCAUGAUAGCAAUAUCAUGGGUAGGGGAGCGUUCUUAUAAGGAAGAAGCAUGACCGGAAGGACAUGUGGACAAAUAAGAAGUGAGAAUGCCGGUAUGAGUAUCGAAAAGAAAGGUGAGAAUCCUUUCCACCGAAAGCCCGAGGGUUCCUGAGCAACGAUCGUCGACUCAGGGUAAGUCGGGACCUAAGCCGAGGCGAGAAGCGUAGGCGAUGGACAACAGGUUGAAAUUCCUGUACCGGAUCAAGUCGAUCGAGCAAAGGAGCGACGCAGGAGGGCACAUGAUCGCGCGGCUGGAAGAGCGCGUCCAAGUGCGUAUGUUGCAGCAGAGGAAAACCCCUGCGGCUGAAAGCAGAGACAUGAUGGGGAGUUAAAGGAAACUUUGACGAACUCAUGGAUCCCACACUGCCAAGAAAAACUUCUAGCGAGACAAGAUCCGCCCGUACCGUAAACCGACACAGGUAGGCGGGGAGAGAAUCCUAAGGUGCGCGGGAAAACCCUCGUUAAGGAACUCGGCAAAUUGCAUCCGUAACCUAGGGAGAAGGAUGGCCCCCGGUCAGUGAAGAGCAGAAACGCUCAGAGCUAAAAGGGGCGGCAGAAAAGAGGCCCAAGCAACUGUUUACCAAAAACACAGGUGCCUGCGAAAGCGAAAGCUGAAGUAUAGGUGCUGACGCCUGCCCGGUGCCGGAAGGUUAAGGAGAGAAGUUAGCGAAAGCGAAGCAUCGAACUGAAGCCCCGGUGAACGGCGGCCGUAACUAUAACGGUCCUAAGGUAGCGAAAUUCCUUGUCGGGUAAGUUCCGACCCGCAUGAAAGGCGUAAUGAUUUGGGCACUGUCUCAACGAGGGGCCCGGUGAAAUUGAAAUACCUGUGAAGAUGCAGGUUACCCGCGACUGGACAGAAAGACCCCAUGGAGCUUCACUGCAGCUUGAGAUUGAAUCCCGGUGACAGAUGCACAGGAUAGGUGGGAGGCGUCGAAGCAUUGCCCUAGGGCGGUGCGGAGCCGAUGUUGGGAUACCACCCUUCUGUUGCUGAGAUUCUAACGCGAGGAGUAACGACCCUGCGGACCCUCUCAGGCAGGCGGUUUGACUGGGGCGGUCGCCUCCGAAAGAGUAACGGAGGCGCCCAAAGGUUCCCUCAGGCCGG
rnacentral:rRNA from 1 species